rnacentral:rRNA from 1 species
GAUGAACGCUGGCGGCGUGCCUAAUACAUGCAAGUCGAGCGGCAGCACGGUCUUCGGACUGGUGGCGAGCGGCGGACGGCUGAGUAACGCGUAGGAACAUGCCCCAAAGUGAGGAAUAACUGCCCGAAAGGGUGGCUAAUGCCGCAUGUGGUCUUCGGACUAAAGCUUUAUGCGCUUUGGGAGUGGCCUGCGUCUGAUUAGCUUGUUGAUGAGGUAAUGGCUCACCAAGGCGACGAUCGGUAGCUGGUUUGAGAGGAUGAUCAGCCACACUGGGACUGAGACACGGCCCAGACUCCUACGGGAGGCAGCAGUGGGGAAUCUUAGACAAUGGGGGAAACCCUGAUCUAGCCAUGCCGCGUGAUCGAUGAAGGCCUUAGGGUUGUAAAGAUCUUUCAGUGGGGAAGAUAAUGACUGUACCCACAGAAGAAGCCCCGGCUAACUCCGUGCCAGCAGCCGCAGUAACAC